rnacentral:rRNA from 1 species
UACGGAGGGUGCGAACGUUAAUCGGAAUUACUGGGCGUAAAGCGUGCGCAGGCGGUGAUGUAAGACAGAUGUGAAAUCCCCGGGCUCAACCUGGGAACUGCAUUUGUGACUGCAUCGCUGGAGUGCGGCAGAGGGGGAUGGAAUUCCGCGUGUAGCAGUGAAAUGCGUAGAUAUGCGGAGGAACACCAAUGGCGAAGGCAGCUCGCUGGGACGGUACUGACGCUGAGGCGCGAAAGCGUGGGGAGCAAACAGG